rnacentral:rRNA from 1 species
GAUGAACGCUGGCGGCGUGCCUAAUACAUGCAAGUCGAGCGAACAGACGAGGAGCUUGCUCCUCUGACGUUAGCGGCGGACGGGUGAGUAACACGUGGAUAACCUACCUAUAGGACUGGGAUAACUUCGGGAAACCGGAGCUAAUACCGGAUAAUAUAUUGAACCGCAUGGUUCAAUAGUGAAAGACGGUUUUGCUGUCACUUAUAGAUGGAUCCGCGCCGCAUUAGCUAGUUGGUAAGGUAACGGCUUACCAAGGCAACGAUGCGUAGCCGACCUGAGAGGGUGAUCGGCCACACUGGAACUGAGACACGGUCCAGACUCCCACGGGAGGCAGCAGUAGGGAAUCUUCCGCAAUGGGCGAAAGCCUGACGGAGCAACGCCGCGUGAGUGAUGAAGGUCUUCGGAUCGUAAAACUCUGUUAUUAGGGAAGAACAAAUGUGUAAGUAACUAUGCACGUCUUGACGGUACCUAAUCAGAAAGCCACGGCUAACUACGUG